rnacentral:lncRNA from 1 species
UUUUUUUUUUUUUUUUUUUUUUGCUUUUUAGGGCUGCACUUGCAGCACAUGAAAGCAGCCUGGCUAGGGGUAGAAUCAGAGCUACAUCUGCUGGCCUACACCACAGCCACAGCAACACCAGAUCCAAGCCACAUCUGCAACUUAACACCACAGCUCACGGUAGCACUGGAUCCUUAACCCACUGAGCGAGGCCAGGGAUCAAACCUGCAUCCUCAUGGAUACUAGCUGGAUUCGUUUCCACUGAGCCACGAUGGGAACUACUAAGUUCUCUUAUUAAUUCUAAUAAUUUCACCAUUUAUUUAAUAUACAGACAAUAGUAUACCUGAAAAUAAUCAUAUUUAUAAUUCUUCCUUUCCAAUUUUUGAUACCUCUUAAUUAGUUUUCUAGUUCUGUUGUGAACCUCUCAAAGUCUCUACAUCAGAUUAAAAUUUUCAAUUCCUUAAGCAUUUGGUCAAACUGCUUAUAAAAUUAACUGGGCCUGGUAUUUUCCUCAGGGACAGAUUUUUUUAACUAAGGAAUUCAUUCUUAGACACAGGUGGAUUGAGGUUUACUAUUUCUUCUUGAGUCAGUUUUGGUAAUUUAUGUUUUCUGUAAAUAUUUCCAUUUCACCUGAUUUCAGAUAUAGUAUCGUAAAGUUGUACAUUACAUUCUAUUUUAGUAUAUUUUAAAUCUCAAUUCUAUUUGUAACUGUCUUAUUUCAUUCCUGGCUUUGAAUUUUUUUAGUGCUUUCUCUUUUUUCUUAUUCUGUCUUACCAGAGCUUUAUUAUUUUUUCAGACUUUCCAAAAGAACAAAUUUAAUGUUGUUUAUCUGAUUUAUCAUAUCUUUGUUUUUUUAAUCCACUAAUGCAUGCUCUUACAUUUAGUAUUUAUUUUCUUCUAUUGGCUAAAAAAGUCUAUUUUUACGCUUUCUUGUUCAUUUUAAUAUGAGCAUUUAAAGCUAUAAGUUUCCCUCUAAAUAUUAGUUUAGCUAUAUAACAUGCAAGUUCUGAUACAUAAAAUCUUAAUCUUCUUCUCAGUCCUAUGAAUUAUUUAGAAGUAGAUUUUUAAACUACCAAACGGAUGACAUUUUUAUUAAAUAUCUUUUGGGUUUUGAUUUCUGAUUUAAUUACACUGUGGACACAGAAUAUGGUCUGUAUAAUGAUGAUUUAUUAAGUAAACUUGGGUUUAAAAUAUUACAUGCUCCUGGAAGUGGGAUGUUUUACCAAUAGCUAUCCUCUUGUCCUCUAGUAAUGCACUUUUCCUUAAAAUCUCUCUUCAGUUACCACUACAACUACACCAGCUCUCUUUUAGUUACUAUAUGCCUGGCAUAUUUUCCCAAUCUUGUUUUUUGAAUUUUUAGGGUCCUUAUGGUUUAGGUGGAUCUCAUAAACAUUUUACGGCUAGAUAUUGUUUUAUCCAGUUUAAUAGAUGAGUUUUGUUUUAAAAAAAGACACCAUUUACAUUUAUUAUGAUUAUAUGCAAACUUAUUUCUACUAUAUAAUUUUAUGCUUUCUAUUUAUCUUUCUUUUUCUCUUUUUUUUUCUUUAAUUUAUUUUUCUUCUUAUGGACUAGUAGAGAAUUUUUUGGUUUGUUUAAUUUCUCAUCUCAUUUUUUCAUAUACUGAUUUGGAAAUUUUAU